UACGUAGGGGGCUAGCGUUAUCCGGAAUCACUGGGCGUAAAGCGUGCGUAGGCUGUUUCGUAAGUCGUGUGUGAAAGGCGCGGGCUCAACCCGCGGACGGCACAUGAUACUGCGAGACUAGAGUAAUGGAGGGGGAACCGGAAUUCUCGGUGUAGCAGUGAAAUGCGUAGAUAUCGAGAGGAACACUCGUGGCGAAGGCGGGUUCCUGGACAUUAACUGACGCUGAGGCACGAAGGCCAGGGGAGCGA
rnacentral:rRNA from 1 species